CCUACGGGCGGCAGCAGUGAGGAAUAUUGCGCAAUGGGGGCAACCCUGACGCAGCGACGCCGCGUGAGUGAGGAAGGCCUUCGGGUCGUAAAGCUCUGUCAAAGGGAAAGAAGUGCAUGGUGGCUAAUACCUGCCAUGUUUGACGGUACCCUUAAAGGAAGCACCGGCUAACUCCGUGCCAGCAGCCGCGGUAAUACGGAGGGUGCAAGCGUUGUUCGGAGUCACUGGGCGGAAAGGGCGCGUCGGCGGUGAAAGCCCACGGCUUAACUGUGGAAGUGCAUUUGAAACUGUCAGACUUGAGUAUCAGAGGGGAAAGUGGAAUUCCCGGUGUAGAGGUGAAAUUCGUAGAUAUCGGGAGGAAUACCGGUGGCGAAGGCGACUUUCUGGCUGAAUACUGACGCUGAGGCGCGAAAGCGUGGGGAGCAAACAGGAUUAGAUACCCUAGUAGUC
rnacentral:rRNA from 1 species